rnacentral:rRNA from 1 species
GACAGAGGGUGCGAACGUUGUUCGGAAUUACUGGGCGUAAAGCGCGUGUAGGCUGUUCGGUAAGUCGGGUGUGAAAGCCCUGGGCUCAACCUAGGAAGUGCACUCGAAACUCCCGAACUGGAGUCCCGGAGAGGAAGGCGGAAUUCUCGGUGUAGAGGUGAAAUUCGUAGAUAUCGAGAGGAACAUCGGUGGCGGAGGCGGCCUUCUGGACGGUGACUGACGCUGAGACGCGAAAGCGUGGGGAGCAAACAGG